GGAAUCUUCGGCAAAGGACGAAAGUCUGACCGAGCAACGCCGCGUGAGUGAAGAAGGUUUUCGGAUCGUAAAACUCUGUUGGUAGAGAAGAACGUUGGUGAGAGUGGAAAGCUCAUCAAGUGACGGUAACUACCCAGAAAGGGACGGCUAACUACGUGCCAG
rnacentral:rRNA from 1 species